GACAAAGGGGGCUAGCGUGGUUCGGAAUUACUGGGCGUAAAGCGCGUGUAGGCGGUUGCCCAAGUCGGGGGUGAAAGCCUUGAGCUCAACUCAAGAAAUGCACUCGGUACUGGGUGACUAGAGGACCGGAGAGGAUAGUGGAAUUCCCAGUGUAGUGGUGAAAUACGUAGAGAUUGGGAAGAACACCAGUGGCGAAGGCGGCUAUCUGGACGGUUUCUGACGCUAAGACGCGAAAGCGUGGGGAGUAAACAGG
rnacentral:rRNA from 1 species